AUACGGAGGGUGCGAGCGUUAAUCGGAAUUACUGGGCGUAAAGCGUGCGUAGGCGGUUUGCUAAGUCAGAUGUGAAAGCCCCGGGCUUAACCUGGGAACUGCAUUUGAUACUGGCAGACUAGAGUAUGAUAGAGGGGGGUAGAAUUCCUGGUGUAGCGGUGAAAUGCGUAGAUAGCAGGAGGAAUACCAGUGGCGAAGGCGGCCCCCUGGAUCAAUACUGACGCUGAGGUACGAAAGCGUGGGGAGCGAACAGGAUUAGAUACCCUUGUAGUCC
rnacentral:rRNA from 1 species